CUCUUUCUUCAAAACCAGGCCUGGUUUUGUGUAUUCCCCUCUCUUGAAUCUUCCUUUUGCACAAGAAUAUGGAAUUAAAUCUCUUCUAGAAUGAACCCUAACAGAUGGAAGGAGAGGAUUGAUCCUCAAAUCAAUCCACGGCUCCCAUUUUCGGAGUUCAUUCUUCAGAAAUUCCCAAAACAAAUCCGGCACAUGAGAGAUGCAACAAAAUGUCAGAGGCUGUUAGAAUCUUGCUGAGGUGGUAGGACAAAGUGCGCGUGAGUGAAUUUGAUCUCACUCGCUCUAAAUUUCACGAGUUUGGACGCAGAUUUGCAGUGAAGAAGAGAGUGAACAGUCGUUUUGGGAUUAGUUCUU
rnacentral:lncRNA from 1 species